GAUGAACGCUGGCGGCGUGCCUAAUACAUGCAAGUCGAGCGAACAGACGAGGAGCUUGCUCCUCUGACGUUAGCGGCGGACGGGUGAGUAACACGUGGAUAACCUACCUAUAAGACUGGAUAACUUCGGGAAACCGGAGCUAAUACCGGAUAAUAUAUUGAACCGCAUGGUUCAAUAGUUAAAGACGGUUUUGCUGUCACUUAUAGGUUGAUCCGCGCCGCAUUAGCUAGUUGGUAAGGUAACGGCUUACCAAGGCGACGAUGCGUAGCCGACCUGAGAGGGUGAUCGGCCACACUGGAACUGAGACACGGUCCAGACUCCUACGGGAGGCAGCAGUAGGGAAUCUUCCGCAAUGGGCGAAAGCCUGACGGAGCAACGCCGCGUGAGUGAUGAAGGUCUUCGGAUCGUAAAACUCUGUUAUUAGGGAAGAACAAAUGUGUAAGUAACUAUGCACGUCUUGACGGUACCUAAUCAGAAAGCCACGGCUAACUACGUG
rnacentral:rRNA from 1 species